GUAGAUGUAGGUGGCGGCAGUUCCGGACUUGGCCGGUUCCGUGUGGUGGGCCCGAUUCAGUCUCCUUCGUUCCCACGGAAGGCAGUCUUGAUCCCAAACAAGCGAGGAUGCCCGCCGUCGUCGCCGCUCAGUCCGGCCGUCCCCCAUCUCUGCGGGUCAUCGCCUCCGUCCCGUCCGAGGCCUGCGAGAUCGGGCGCCUGCCUGAGGAGUGAGGAGCUCCUCUCGGAGACGCUCGCCCGCACCUCCACGCGCGACGCCUGCCGCGCCGCGGCCGACUCCGACUCCGUCUGGCCUGCUUCCUGCCCCGCGUCCUCCCGCCGCUCGCCGCCGCGCAAGAAGGACCUCUUCCUCCGCCUCACCGACUGCCCCGUUCUCCUCCCGGACAAACGUGUGUGGAUCAGGCCUGAUCUCGCCUCGGUCUCUCUUCCCUGCCCUUCCGUAGCGGUGCCGCCAUAAUCCUCGAUGCAGCUGGAUUGGCUGUGGUCGUCUUUGGGCCAUGGAUCCUCACCAGGGUCGUCAUCAUCUUCUUUCGCCUCAGGACGCGGCAAGUGCUUCUCCUCCUCCAUGAACGGCUAGUGUAGAAGCUCGCCUCUGUAUCCAGAACUCCUCAUCUGUCGUCAUUCAGGUAUGCAAGUUCAAUAACCAUUUCUCAAAUCAACAACACUGAGAUAUCUUACCACUGAUUGAUUUACAUCAUGUCGCUAAAUCAAAGAUUAUAUGCCUUCUAAAAGACAGCAUUCAGAUUUUCACACAUAGAAAACCAAAUAGCUGAGACAUGUGUUUCAAAUGUUGCGGAUCGAUGAAUGUUUGCAAUGUGACAAAUCAUUGGAGUAGAAGUUGGAAUGCGAGAAAUUAUUUGUAUGCUAGGUAAUGAUAUUUUAUAUCGAUGUUCAAGCUCCAAGGACUGAUUCUAUUGUUGAUGUUUAUCUACCGCAGAUUUUGUCCACGAGUUUGGAGAAUCAUGAUCAGGAUGAAAUUUGAAUAUUUGUAUCAAUUUAGGAUGUUGGUAAAAUGAUCUUACCAGAUACAAGUAGUAGUUUUUCCUACUAAAGUUAAAAAUUUCCAUUUUGUAUAGCUUGCAUUAAGUAUAUUUGUGACACACUUUCAUUCGUGGCAUAACAAAAUAUCAAUGUAAGGAAGUAAACCAAGAAACUAAAUGUGAAUAUCAAAAGCAAGUACAAUACUGAGGAUGAUGUUGGUGGAGAAUUUGAUUACACUUUUAGUUUCCUCCAUCUGGACAAGUUUAAAAAAGAUUACUCAAAUUUUGGCUGCAUGAUUGACCUUAUUAGGGAAUUCCACUAUUUAGUACAUAAUAUACUGUUUAAUAUGCCGAUUGGUGUAUGUAAACUGCUUGGGCAUUUAUGAUUGUUUACCAUCGUAGUAUUGCCGACCAUGGCACAGAGUUUCAGUAACAAAGAUGCAUAGAUUCAUAAUUUCAGUAGCAGUAUUGUACUCAUGUUAAGAUUGUUGUCUCUCCGCUCUUAAUAUGUCUGAUCCAUAUAUACUUCUAUUCAUGGUAUAUCCACUACGUUUCAGUAACAAAGACGCAUAGAUUCAUAAUUUCAGUAGCAGUAUGUAAUUUUGUGGCUUAAUUAUUUCUGGACUAAUUAACGAUUAAUAAUUUCAUUGUGAAACAUUCCUCUUCUCAUAUUCCUGCCAUAUCUGCACCUUCUCUGUGUCAUGUGUCAGUACCAAAAGAUGUUGCUUCCAUGUUAAUAAGCUCUUAUCUUGCGAUUGAAUCUGUGUCAGUUUACACAUUCUGUCACAUGAGAUCAGUUAUUUAGUUUAUUCAGUUAGAUAUAAAUAUUUAUCAUUGCACUAUUAUUUAACAGUCUAUACUAAGGGAAAUAGAAGUACUAACUACUUACUUGGAUUAACUAUGCAAAUCGCUGAAAUGGCACCAUUUCUUUCUUAGUAGAAUCACUUAAAUGCCUCCUCCAGUUGUAAGGAGGUUCUUGCUUUUUUAUUAUUCACACAAUCUAUCCCACCAAGAUUAAUACUAUUCAUGCUAGCAGGCCUUACAAGAUUAAAGUGAAAUCUCUUAUAUUAUUCAGAACAUUUAUGUAUGAUUGUUGGUUGUUAAUCACUAUAUGAAACUAUUAUAUUGUUUAGUAUUUUCGCGGCCAAAGAGACACACAUGCUACAGUAGAAAUAAUUUUGAUACUUUUAUGUACUUACAGGUUAGUGGGGAAUGGAACAUGCCCUGAAGUUUGCAUUUCCAGCUAGUCAUACAUCAUUAUUAAAUUUGCAUGUGCAUAGUUUUACCUCAUCUAUAAAUCUGUGACUGAUGAUAUGCGGUAAUUGUUGUAUAUUUUUUCAUAAUAGCAUGCUACAGCCAUAAUAUCUUUGUAAGGCACAUAUAGUUUUUAUUUCCAUAUGCAAAUACCGUUCAAAGCAAUAUAUAUAUUUCUAUUCUUUUAUUGAUCGUAUAACCAUCUGACAAGCAUAUAACUCAAUUAAAAGAUGUAAUUUAAGGAAAUUUAUAGAAAAAAGAUGAUAAUUGAAUAAAAUGAGUGAUUUACUGUAUAUCAAAUGUUACCAUGAAUAUAUUAUAUUCAAUAAUUUACUAAAAUAUAUAGAAGCAUAAAGAAAAGUAAGAGAUAAAAAGAAUGAAAUGCAAAAAUGGCAUGGUCUCCUGACAUAGGCUUGCACACUCCGCCGCCUCUGCCUACCUCGGUAUGUGUGCAUGUGAUGGAUCUCAUGUUGGUUUGGUCUGCUAAGUGCCGGUGCUGAAAGCUUUUUUUUUGCUGCAGGUCCAUGUAGUAAUGAUCCAGAUUUUCAUUCGGGAAAUCAUUCUGAGAAAAAUGAAGAGGCAGUUAUUCCCAUAUGGUGCUGAGAAGUUAGGGAAGAAGGUGUGGUGAAUUUGUGAUACAUGCCUUUGUAGUAUCACUAUAUGCGUUUUUUCCCCAGUUGUGCGAUUCCUGACUUGGUCAUAACUGUAUUAUCAAAAUGUGUGGAACUCCAAGUAGCUGCUCUUUCAUUUUUUUUUUUCGAAACAGCUGCUCUUUCAUUGGAGCAAGUUGCAUCAGAAAGACGUUUGCUGCAUCCUCAGGAUGGGUGUGCUCUUGUGUUUUGUCUGUGCGUCAUCGUCAUAUCGUCAUGUAGUAUAUAUGAAGCCGAACCUGAUAUGUUGUUUAGGUCGAUGUGCAAGUAUGCUACCUGAACACUCU